GAUGAACGCUGGCGGCGUGCCUAAUACAUGCAAGUCGAGCGAACGGACGAGAAGCUUGCUUCUCUGAUGUUAGCGGCGGACGGGUGAGUAACACGUGGAUAACCUACCUAUAAGACUGGGAUAACUUCGGGAAACCGGGGCUAAUACCGGAUAAUAUUUUGAACCGCAUGGUUCAAAAGUGAAAGACGGUCUUGCUGUCACUUAUAGGUGGAUCCGCGCUGCAUUAGCUAGUUGGUAAGGUAACGGCUUACCAAGGCAACGAUGCAUAGCCGACCUGAGAGGGUGAUCGGCCACACUGGACCUGAGACACGGUCCAGACUCCUACGGGAGGCAGCAGUAGGGAAUCUUCCGCAAGGGGCGAAAGCCUGACGGAGCGACGCCGCGUGAGUGAUGAAGGUCUUCGGAUCGUAAAACUCUGUUAUUAGGAGAGAACAUAUGUGUAAGUAACUGUGCACAUCUUGACGGUACCUAAUCAGAAAGCCACGGCUAACUACGUG
rnacentral:rRNA from 1 species